rnacentral:rRNA from 1 species
AUUGAACGCUGGCGGCAUGCUUUACACAUGCAAGUCGAACGGCAGCACGGGGGCAACCCUGGUGGCGAGUGGCGAACGGGUGAGUAAUAUAUCGGAACGUACCCGGAAAUGGGGGAUAACGUAGCGAAAGUUACGCUAAUACCGCAUAUGCCCUAAGGGGGAAAGCGGGGGAUUCGCAAGAACCUCGCGUUUUCGGAGCGGCCGAUAUCGGAUUAGCUAGUAGGUGAGGUAAAGGCUCACCUAGGCGACGAUCCGUAGCUGGUCUGAGAGGACGACCAGCCACACUGGAACUGAGACACGGUCCAGACUCCUACGGGAGGCAGCAGUGGGGAAUUUUGGACAAUGGGCGCAAGCCUGAUCCAGCCAUGCCGCGUGAGUGAAGAAGGCCUUCGGUUGUAAAGCUCUUUCUAGCCGGAAAGAAAACGACACGGGUUAAUAACCUGUGUGGAUGACGGUACCGGAAGAAGAAGACACCGGCUAACUACGUGCCAGCAGCCGCGG